UACGAAGGGGGCUAGCGUUGCUCGGAAUCACUGGGCGUAAAGGGUGCGUAGGCGGGUCUUUAAGUCAGAGGUGAAAUCCUGGAGCUCAACUCCAGAACUGCCUUUGAUACUGAGGAUCUUGAGUUCGGGAGAGGUGAGUGGAACUGCGAGUGUAGAGGUGAAAUUCGUAGAUAUUCGCAAGAACACCAGUGGCGAAGGCGGCUCACUGGCCCGAUACUGACGCUGAGGCACGAAAGCGUGGGUAGCAAACAGG
rnacentral:rRNA from 1 species